UGGGGAAUAUUGCACAAUGGGCGCAAGCCUGAUGCAGCCAUGCCGCGUGUAUGAAGAAGGCCUUCGGGUUGUAAAGUACUUUCAGCGGGGAGGAAGGGAGUAAAGUUAAUACCUUUGCUCAUUGACGUUACCCGCAGAAGAAGCACCGGCUAACUCCGUGCCAGCAGCCGCGGUAAUACGGAGGGUGCAAGCGUUAAUCGGAAUUACUGGGCGUAAAGCGCACGCAGGCGGUUUGUUAAGUCAGAUGUGAAAUCCCCGGGCUCAACCUGGGAACUGCAUCUGAUACUGGCAAGCUUGAGUCUCGUAGAGGGGGGUAGAAUUCCAGGUGUAGCGGUGAAAUGCGUAGAAAUCUGGAGGAAUACCGGUGGCGAAGGCGGCCCCCUGGACGAAGACUGACGCUCAGGUGCGAAAGCGUGGGGAGCAAACAGG
rnacentral:rRNA from 2 species